ACUAAGAAUGUCUUAAGAUAGAAGGGAACAUUUGAGCAAACUCAAAUCUUUGAUAUGUUCACCGAGAAUGUUGAUAAUGAAGGAAUCAUUCUUCAUUUGGAAGCACCCGAUAGUUAAACUCUUGACUCCUGGGACCCACGCACAGCAUGCUUUAGAGUCUCUUCAUCUAGAUAAUAUCCCUGUAAAUCAAAGAUACUAGUCUUAUAAGUUCAUCCCAGAAGUAAGAAUGGCAUUAGCAAAACUAAAGAUGGUCAAAUGGACAUUCAUUUAUGCCACAUUCUCCAUAUGCAUUCUAUUCAAUAAUUAGAAGAUUAAUCAGACCAUCUUACCAUGAAUGUUUGGACCAGCUUGAUGCCUACAUAGGCAUUAGCAAAGUGAAGCUUAGGAAAUGCCUCCAACGGUUUUAGCUAGUCUACUAGUAAACCAUACAUAAAUAGGUUAAUCCAAAUUAACCAGAAAUAAACUCGAAAAAGUUCUAGCUACCAAACCAAUCUUAAGACACUCUAUCAAUCAGUCAUUCAACUACGGCUCAAUCCUAAGUCAAGUCCUGGAUUUUCACUCCACUCUAUUCACACUCAUUUUCAUUUCAUAAUGAUCAAGUAUCAAGCAAAUCUAACAGAAGUUUUAGAUUAUCUAAGAACAACAUAUUUCAGUUUAUAUGAAUUCGAGAUAGUUGAAUUGGAAUUUUAAACAUACAACAACAACAUACCCAGCCCACCAAGUGGUGUCUAGGGAAGGUAAGUGUACGUAGUCCAUACCACUACCUCAAUGUGAGAUAGAGAGACUUUUUUCAAUAGACUCCCGUCUCAAAAUAAAACAAUCUAAAUGAUGAAUAGUAAAAGAACAAGAUACAAUAGAUUUCAACAUAUCCAAUAAUACCAUAAACAAGAUACGCCAAGUAAUACAAUAAAAGAUACAACAUCCUAAAUUCAUACUAACCUUCUACCCUAAUCUUCCUCCUCCUCAACUUCCGAUCCAGGGUUAUGUCCUCGGUAAGUUGGAGCUGCUCCAUGUCAUGUGUAAUCACCUCCCUCCAAUGGUGAGGGAGGUUAUGACGAUGUGCAUGAGGUUUUGUUUUCAGUGAUAGAAAUGGUGAGGGGGAUACUCUGUUGGAUUUUGCGAGGGCCUUUGGGCUGGUGGUAGUGAAUUUGAUCUUUUCAAAGAAGAAGGAUCAUCUGAUUACCUUCCAAGCACGUUAGCCAAGACUGAGAUUGAAUUUUUGUUGAUUAGGAAAGGGGAUAGGGUUUUAUGUAAAGGCUGUAAAGUUAUUCCAAGUGAGCACCUUUCGACCCAGUACAGGCUUUUGGUGGUGGACUUGAUUAUCAAGAAGAGAAGGAAGAGUAGGGCCAGUGAGGGUCGACCCAAAAUUAAGUGGGGUGGCUUGGCGCCAGUUAGUGCACGAGGGAUAGGGAAGAAGGUGGCGGGAUUGGGGGUGUGGGAGUGAAGGGGUGACGUGGAUAUGUGGGAUAAGGUUGCCAGCUGCAUCAUGGAGAUGGCUAGAGAGGUGUUGGGUAUUUUGAGGUGUCGGUAUAAGGGGGACUGGUGGUGGAAUGAAGAAGUUAAGAGGAAAGUAGAGAUUAAGAAGGGGGUAUAUGUUAAGUUGAUUGAGAGUAAAGAUAAAGAGGAGAAGCAGGUGAAUAAGGAGGUUUAUAAAGUAGCAACGAAAGAGGCUAAGUUAGCAGUUACGGCUGCUAAGACAACAAUGUUUGAGAACUUGUAAGCGGGGUUAGAGGAGAAAAAUGGGAAAUAAAAGGUUGUAUAGGCUGGCUAAGGCUAGGGAGAGGAAGGGUUGUGACCUCAAUCAAGUAAAGUGCAUUAAGGGGGAGGAUAGUAGAGUUUUGGUGGAGGAUGUUCGCAUUAAGAAAAUAUGGCAGGAGUAUUUUCAUAGACUUUUGAACGGGGGAGGGGGGGACAGAGUCAUCGAGUUAGGGGAGCUGGAGUGCUCGGAGGAGAGCCAUGAUUUCAGUUACUGCAGAUAUUUUAAGGUUAAGGAGGUCAGAGAGGCUAUUCGUAAAAUGUGGAGGGGUAGGGCGACGGGGCUUGACGAGAUUUUAGUGGAUUUUUGGAAGUAUACUGGUAAAGCAGGUUGAAGGUGGUUGAUUGAUUUGUUUAACGACAUUUUCAAGACUACAAGGAUGCCUAAGGCUUGGAGAUGGAGUACGAUGAUUCCGUUAUAUAAAAACAAGGGUGACAUUCAGAGCUGCAACAACUAUAGGGGUAUUAAGCUAUUAAAUUAUAUUAUAAAGAUUUGGGAGAGGGUGGUUGAGCAAAGAUUGAGGAGGGUCGUGUCCAUUUUGGAGAAUCAGUUUGGUUUUAUGCCUGGUCACUCGACGACAGAGGCAAUUCACCUGGUAAGGAGAUUGGUAGAGCAGUAUAGGUAAAGGAAGAGGGAUUUACAUAUGAUGUUCAUCGACCUGGAGAAGGCGUAUGACAAAGUCCCUAAGAAGGUUCUUUGGAGAUGCUUGGGGGUGAGAGAGGUUUUGGUAGCAUACAUCAGAGCUAUUAAGGACAUGUACGAUGGAGGAAAGACUCGGGUGAGGAUGGUGAGAGGAUACUUAAGGCAUUUUUCAAUCGAGAUAGGGUUGCAUCAGGGAUCAACUUUUAGCCCAUUUUUGUUUGCGUUGGUGAUGGACGUGUUGACGUGGAGUAUUCAAGGUGAGGUGCCUUGGUGUAUGUUAUUUGCGGAUGAUGUAGUGUUGAUUGAUGAGACGCGGGAGGGUGUGAAUGAAAGAUGGGAGGUUUGGAGACAAACCCUUCAAUCUAAGGGGUUCAGGUUGAGUAGGUCCAAGACAGAGUAUAUGGAAUGCACGUUUAGUGACUUGAGUUAGGAGGACGAAGUGGUAGUGAGGUUAGAUUCCCAGGAUGUUUGUAAGAGUGAUAGUUUUAAGUAUCUUGAAUCUAUGAUUCAGGAGAAUGACAAGAGUAAUGAAGAUGUCCGUAAACGUAUUGGAGCAGGUUGGAUGAAGUGGAGGCUCGCCUCGGGAGUAUUGUGUGAUAAGAAUGUGCCCCUUAAGCUUAAAGGCAAAUUAUACAGAGUGGCAUUCUGUCCGGCCAUGUUGUAUGGAGUGGAGUGUUGGCCAGUCAAGAAAUUUUAUAGUCAGAGAUUGAAGGUGGCGAAAAUGAGCAUGUUGUGUUGGAUGUGUGGACUUACUAUAGGGGAUUGAGUUAGGAAUGAGACUAUCAGGGAGAAGAUGAGAGUGACUUUGGUAGAGGAAAAGUUGCAAAAAGAAAGACUGAGAUGGUUUAGGCAUGUGAUGAGGAGGCUCACGGUUGCACUAGUUCGUAGGUGUGAGAGGCUAGCUUUGGAUGUCUUUAGAAGGAGUAGAAGUAGGCCGAAGAAAUACUGAAGGAAGGUGAUUAGACAUGACAUGGAGUAGCUACAGCUUACUAGGACAUGACCCUAGAUAGGAAGGUAGAUAGGAAGGUGUGGAGGUCGUGGAUAAGGGUAGAAGACUAGUGUGAGUGAGUGGGUUGUAGCAAGGUGUUAGGAGAGCUCUUGCGUAGCCGGGUUAGUAAUCCUAGGAUUGUGUCCUUUAGUAGGAGCCUCUAUUCAGGAGAGUUUGGGUGUGGUGGGUGUCUUUGGUCUGUGAGUGUAUGUUACUACUAGGUGGGUGUCCUAUCUCUUAUUUCUUAUUUUCAAUUGCUCGAAUUUCUCUUAUUUCCUAUUUAUCUGAUAUCUAUUUUAUUAUUUCUUAUUUCUUAUUUCUAUUAUGUCAUCCAUCCUUCAUCAUGUUUCACUACGACCUUGUGUACUAUUCUCUAUUCUGAGUGGGGUCUAUCGGAAACAACCUCUCUACUUCCUCGGAGAUAGCGGUAUGGACUACAUUUUACCCUCCCCAGACCUCACUUUGUGGGAAUACACUGGGUUUUUUGUUGUUGUUGUACCUCUACCUCGCUUGAAACUAUCUCUAGCCAACUGCUCACACCUCCACACUGGGGCAUCCGCGUCCCUCCUCAUCACAUGACCGAACCAUCCCAGCCUCGCUUCCCUCAUCGGGUGGAUCUUCCACCGAAGCCACUCCUACCUUAUCUCUAAUUUUACACAAAAAAAAUUACUAAUUUCAUAUGUAUUAUGCUCAAUAAGGCUAUGAGGGAUGUGGUGUCAAAUUUUAUUUUAUUUUUAUAAUCAUGGUGUCCUAGCCAACUUUCGGACACCUCGACUAAUUCCAUGAAAUGCUUGCCACCUCUCACUCAUUAGCAGACAGCUAGUAACUCUGUUCACCAAGGCCAGGACGUUGGAAAGAAAUCACCCAGUAUUUUUUGUCCAAUAUCACAUUCAAUAUAACUCAUUUUAUCUAUUACAGCAAUAAAAUUAGGGCAUUUAAUUAGAAAAAAAAGGGCUAAGUUAACUUACAGAAAAAUCGAAAGAUGAAAC
rnacentral:lncRNA from 1 species